AGUGAACGCUGGCGGUAGGCCUAACACAUGCAAGUCGAACGGCAGCACAGUAAGAGCUUGCUCUUACGGGUGGCGAGUGGCGGACGGGUGAGGAAUACAUCGGAAUCUACUUUUUCGUGGGGGAUAACGUAGGGAAACUUACGCUAAUACCGCAUACGACCUACGGGUGAAAGCAGGGGAUCUUCGGACCUUGCGCGAUUGAAUGAGCCGAUGUCGGAUUAGCUAGUUGGCGGGGUAAAGGCCCACCAAGGCGACGAUCCGUAGCUGGUCUGAGAGGAUGAUCAGCCACACUGGAACUGAGACACGGUCCAGACUCCUACGGGAGGCAGCAGUGGGGAAUAUUGGACAAUGGGCGCAAGCCUGAUCCAGCCAUACCGCGCGGGUGAAGAAGGCCUUCGGGUUGUAAAGCCCUUUUGUUGGGAAAGAAAAGCAGCAGGUUAAUACCCCGCUGUUCUGACGGUACCCAAAGAAUAAGCACCGGCUAACUUCGU
rnacentral:rRNA from 1 species